rnacentral:rRNA from 1 species
UAGGGAAUCUUCGGCAAUGGGGGCAACCCUGACCGAGCAACGCCGCGUGAGUGAAGAAGGUUUUCGGAUCGUAAAGCUCUGUUGUAAGUCAAGAACGAGUGUGAGAGUGGAAAGUUCACACUGUGACGGUAGCUUACCAGAAAGGGACGGCUAACUACGUGCCAGCAGCCGCGGUAAUACGUAGGUCCCGAGCGUUGUCCGGAUUUAUUGGGCGUAAAGCGAGCGCAGGCGGUUUGAUAAGUCUGAAGUUAAAGGCUGUGGCUCAACCAUAGUUCGCUUUGGAAGCUGUCAAACUUGAGUGCAGAAGGGGAGAGUGGAAUUCCAUGUGUAGCGGUGAAAUGCGUAGAUAUAUGGAGGAACACCGGUGGCGAAAGCGGCUCUCUGGUCUGUAACUGACGCUGAGGCUCGAAAGCGUGGGGAGCGAACAGGAUUAGAUACCCUGGUAGUCCACGCCGUAAACGAUGAGUGCUAGGUGUUGGAUCCUUUCCGGGAUUCAGUGCCGCAGCUAACGCAUUAAGCACUCCGCCUGGGGAGUACGACCGCAAGGUUG